CUAGUCAAUCCAUCAGUCACAAGCACACAUACAAGAGAAUCGUCCCAAAUGGCAUUUACCCAUAAGGCUCUGGUCAAAAGUUGUGGCCUUUAUAGAGGAAAAUGUUCCAUUUGGGACGCAGACAUAGUCACAGAGGUGACGUUAGGGAGGUCACAGAGGUGACGUUAGGGAGGGUCACAGAGGUGACGUUAGGGGGGUCACAGAGGUGGCGUUCUGAGGCUCAUGUCCCAUUGCUGUGUCACCACAGUGACCCGGUGAGGGUGUCGGUCUAACAGAGGUAUGACAUCACAAAAACGCCACACGGGUUAAUGCUGCAUGAAUUGCAAAACUCCCUUUCAACUAAAGUACAAAUGUAAAAAAAAUAGAUAAAAAACAUGAGACAAAAAUAGAAGACAAAUAAGAUCGAAGACAAACCCAGAGAACACAUAUUAGUUAAAAAGGUCUAUAAAAAUACUACUAUAGCUACUGUAGAAAGAGCAGCCCUGCAGGCCUCCGAGGUUUCUCUCCAGAGGUUUCUCUCCAGAGGUUUCUCUCCAGAGGUUUCUCUUCAGAGGUUUCCCUCCAGAGGUUUCCCUCCAGAGGUUUCCCUCCAGAGGUUUCUCUUCAGAGGUUUCCCUCCAGAGGUUUCUCUUCAGAGGUUUCUCUCCAGAGGUUUCUCUCCAGAGGUUUCUCUUCAGAGGUUUCUCUCCAGAGGUUUCUCUCCAGAGGUUUCCCUCCAGAGUUUUCUCUCCAGAGGUUUCUCUUCAAGAGGUUUCUCUCCAGAGGUUUCUCUGGACCGGGUCCUGGAGAUGGAGGCAGUGUGUGAGGCCGCCCGUCCCGUACUAACAAACAGACAGCCCUCAGAGAGCCAGGCAAGGGGGGGUUAGACCAGGGAUGGGAUGGGGUUGGGGCUGGGGGUACGGCUUGGGGG
rnacentral:lncRNA from 1 species